rnacentral:rRNA from 1 species
UACAGAGACUGCAAGCGUUAUUCGGGUUCACUGGGCGUAAAGGGUGCGCAGGCGGCCGGGUGUGUCAGAUGUGAAAUCCCGAGGCUCAACCUCGGAACUGCGUCUGAAACUAUUCGGCUAGAGUACUGGAGAGGGUAACGGAAUUCACGGUGUAGCAGUGAAAUGCGUAGAUAUCGUGAGGAACACCAGAGGCGAAGGCGGUUACCUGGACAGUUACUGACGCUCAGGCACGAAAGCAUGGGGAGCAAAAGGG